AACUUUCAGCAACGGAUCUCUUGGCUCUCGCAUCGAUGAAGAACGCAGCGAAAUGCGAUAAGUAAUGUGAAUUGCAGAAUUCAGUGAAUCAUCGAAUCUUUGAACGCACCUUGCGCCCCUUGGUAUUCCUUGGAGCAUGCCUGUUUGAGUAUCA
rnacentral:rRNA from 1 species